GGAGAGGUGGCUGAGUGGUCAAAAGCAACAGAUUGCUAAUCUGUCGUAUGGGGAAAUCCCCAUACCAAGGGUUCGAAUCCCUUUCUCUCCU
rnacentral:tRNA from 1 species